rnacentral:rRNA from 1 species
GUGUCAGCCGCCGCGGUAAGACGGGGGGUGCUAGCGUUGUUCGGAAUCACUGGGCGUAAAGGGCGCGCAGGCGGCCGCGCAAGUCGGAUGUGAAAGCCCGGGGCUCAACUCCGGAACGGCAUUCGAGACUGCGUGGCUCGAGACCGGAAGAGGAGGGUGGAAUUCCCAGUGUAGAGGUGAAAUUCGUAGAUAUUGGGAGGAACACCGGUGGCGAAAGCGGCUCUCUGGUCCGGUUCUGACGCUGAGGCGCGAAAGCGUGGGGAGCAAACAGGAUUAGAUACCCUGGUAGUCCACGCUGUAAACGAUGCCCACUAGGUGUGGUGGAGGUUAUAACUCUGCCGUGCCGUAGCUAACGCGUUAAGUGGGCCGCCUGGGGAGUACGGCCGCAAGGUUAAAACUCAAAUGAAUUGGCGGGG